rnacentral:rRNA from 1 species
GAUGAACGCUAGCGGCAGGCUUAAUACAUGCAAGUCAAGGGGGUAGCAAUACAACCGGCGCACGGGUGAGUAACGCGUACACAACAUACCAUAUACUGGGGUAUAGCUUCGGGAAACUGGAGAUAAUCCCCCAUAACAUUGCGAGAGGGCAUCUGAUUGCAAUUAAAGUUUCGACGGUAUAUGAUUGGUGUGCGUUUGGUUAGCUUGUUGGUAGGGUAACGGCCUACCAAGGCGACGAUCAAUAGCUGGUGUGAGAGCGCGACCAGCCACACUGGAACUGAGACACGGUCCAGACUCCUACGGGAGGCAGCAGUAGGGAAUAUUGGACAAUGGGCGAAAGCCUGAUCCAGCCAUGCCGCGUGAUAGAUGAAGGCCCUCUGGGUUGUAAAUAUCUUUUAUCUGGGAAGAAACUCCUCUAUUCUUAGAGGCCUGACGGUACCAGAGGAAUAAGCACCGGCUAACUCCGUGCCAGCAGCCGCGGUAAAGUAUCG